AGGUAGAAGUCAGAGGUCAGGUAGAAGUCAGAGGUCAGGUAGAAGUCAGAGGUAAGGUAGAAGUCAGAUAUAAAGUAGAAGUCAGAGGUCAGGUAGAAGUCAAAGGUAAGGUAGAAGUCAGAGGUCAGGUAGAAGUCAGAGGUCAGGUAGAAGUCAGAGGCCAGAUAGAAAUGAAUUCAAGGGUCAGAGGUGAAGUCAGAUGUCUUGAUAGAACGUAAGCCAGAGAUCAGAUAGAAGUGAAGUAAGAAUGCAGGUAGAAGUAAACUCAGGACAGGUCAAAGUGAAGUCGUCAGGUGUCUUGGUAGAAGUGAAGUCAGAGGUCAGGUAGAAGUAAAGUCAGAGGUCAGGUAGAAGUAAAGUCAGAAGUCAGGUAGAAGUAAAGUCAGAGGUCAGGUAGAAGUGAAGUCAGAGGUCAGGUAGAAGUAAAGUCAGAGGUAAGGUAGAAGUGAAGUCAGAGGUCAGGUAGAAGUAAAGUCAGAGGUAAGGUAGAAGUUAAGUCAGAGGUCAGGUAGAAGUAAAGUCAGAGGUCAGGUAGAAGUGAAGUCAGAGGUCAGGUAGAAGUAAAGUCAUAGAUCGUUUAGAGGUUAAGUCAGAGUUCAGUUGGAAGUGAAGACAGAGAUCAGAUAGAGGUGAACUCCGACGAAGUGAAGUCAGAGGUCAGGUAUGGCAUGAAGUUGGAAUUCAGAUAGAAGUUAUAAUUACGUCAGCUAUGGGAAAGAAGUAAAGAAGAGGUGUGAUAGAAGUUACGUCAAAGUUUUGUGUAGAACUAAAGGCUGAGAUCUGAUGGAGAUUUGGUCAGAAGAAGUUGUAAGUCAGAAGUCUACAAUCUAGAAACCAGACAGCAAGCUAGAAGAGAGUAGAAAGGAGAUGGGGUAGAAGUAAAGUCAGAGGAGAUCUGACAGAAAUGUUGUCAGAGAUCGAGUAGAAGUAAAGUCAGAGGUCUGAAAGAAGUUUUGUCAGAGAUUGAGUAGAAGUAAAGUCAGAAACCUGAUAGAAAUUUUGUCAGAGAUCGGGUAGAAGUAAAGUCAGAAGUCUGAUAGACGUUUUGUCAGGGAUUGAGUAGAAGUAAAGUCAGAGGUCUGAUAGAAGUAUUGUCAGAGAUUGAGUAGAAGUAAAGACAAAAGUCUGAUAGAAAUGUUGUCAAAAAUUGAGUAGAAGUAAAAAAAGAAACC